UACGGGGGGGGGCAAGCGUUGUCCGGAAUUAUUGGGCGUAAAGAGCUCGUAGGCGGUCUGUCGCGUCGGCUGUGAAAUCCCGAGGCUCAACCUCGGGUCUGCAGUCGAUACGGGCAAACUGGAGUGUUGCAGGGGAGACUGGAAUUCCUGGUGUAGCGGUGAAAUGCGCAGAUAUCAGGAGGAACACCGGUGGCGAAGGCGGGUCUCUGGGCAACAACUGACGCUGAGGAGCGAAAGCGUGGGGAGCGAACAGG
rnacentral:rRNA from 1 species